rnacentral:rRNA from 1 species
GACGAACGCNGGCGGCGUGCUUAACACAUGCAAGUCGAACGAAGAGCGAUGGAAGCUUGCUUCUAUCAAUCUUAGUGGCGAACGGGUGAGUAACGCGUAAUCAACCUGCCCUUCAGAGGGGGACAACAGUUGGAAACGACUGCUAAUACCGCAUACGAUCUAACCUCGGCAUCGAGGAUAGAUGAAAGGUGGCCUCUACAUGUAAGCUAUCACUGAAGGAGGGGAUUGCGUCUGAUUAGCUAGUUGGAGGGGUAACGGCCCACCAAGGCGAUGAUCAGUAGCCGGUCUGAGAGGAUGAACGGCCACAUUGGGACUGAGACACGGCCCAGACUCCUACGGGAGGCAGCAGUGGGGAAUCUUCCGCAAUGGACGAAAGUCUGACGGAGCAACGCCGCGUGAGUGAUGACGGCCUUCGGGUUGUAAAGCUCUGUUAAUCGGGACGAAAGGCCUUCUUGCGAAUAGUUAGAAGGAUGACG